UACAGAGGUCCCGAGCGUUGUUCGGAUUCAUUGGGCGUAAAGGGUGCGUAGGCGGUCUGCUAAGUUUGAUGUGAAAUCCCGGGGCUCAACCCUGGAAUUGCAUUGAAUACUGGCGGACUAGAGUACUGGAGAGGAAACUGGAAUUUACGGUGUAGCAGUGAAAUGCGUAGAGAUCAUGAGGAAGACCAGUGGCGAAGGCGGGUCUCUGGACAGUUCCUGACACUGAGACACGAAGGCCAGGGGAGCAAACGGG
rnacentral:rRNA from 1 species